rnacentral:rRNA from 1 species
CCUACGGGUGACUGCAGUGGGGAAUAUUGCACAAUGGGGGAAACCCUGAUGCAGCGACGCCGCGUGCGUGAAGAAGUAAUUCGUUAUGUAAAGCGCUAUCAGCAGGGAAGAAAAUGACGGGACCCGAUUAAGUAGCCUCGGCCAACCACGUGCCAGCAGCCGGGGUAAUACGUAGGGGGCAAGCGUUAUCCGGAUUUACUGGGUGUAAAGGGAGCGUAGACGGCAGUGCAAGUCUGGAGUGAAAGGCGUGGGCUCAACCCCCGGACUGCUAUGGAAACUGUACGGCUUGAGUGCAGGAGAGGUAAGUGGAAUUCCUAGUGUAGCGGUGAAAUGCGUAGAUAUUAGGAGGAACACCAGUGGCGAAGGCGGCUUACUGGACUGUAACUGACGUUGAGGCACGAAAGCGUGGGGAGCAAACAGGAUUAGAUACCCGGGUAGUC